AUUGAACGCUGGCGGCAGGCCUAACACAUGCAAGUCGAACGCGUGGCGGACGGGUGAGUAAUGUCUGGGACACUGCCCGAUGGAGGGGGAUAACUACUGGACACGGUCGCUAAUACCGCAUACCAUCGGAUGUGCCCAUAGGGGAUUGGCUAGUAGGUGGGGUAACGGCUCACCUGGGCGACGAUCCCUAGCUGGUCUGAGAGGAUGACCGGCAAAACUGGAACUGGGACACGGUCCAGACUCCUACGGGAGGCAGCAGUGGGGAAUAUUGCACAAUGGGCGCAAGCCUGAUGCAGCCAUGACGCGUGUAUGAAGAAGGCCUUCGGGUUGUAAAGUACUUUCAGCGAGGAGGCGUUACUCGCAGAAGAAGCACCGGCUAACUCCGUGCCAGCAGCCGCGGUAAUAC
rnacentral:rRNA from 1 species